UGGGGAAUAUUGGACAAUGGGCGCAAGCCUGAUCCAGCAAUGCCGCGUGUGUGAAGAAGGCCUUCGGGUUGUAAAGCACUUUUAUCAGGAGCGAAACGCUGUCGGCUAAUACCCGGCGGAACUGACGGUACCUGAGGAAUAAGCACCGGCUAACUUCGUGCCAGCAGCCGCGGUAAUACGAAGGGUGCAAGCGUUAAUCGGAAUUACUGGGCGUAAAGCGUGCGUAGGCGGUUUCUUAAGUCUGCUGUGAAAUCCCCGGGCUCAACCUGGGAAUGGCAGUGGAUACUGGGAGGCUAGAGUGUGUCAGAGGGUGGUGGAAUUCCCGGUGUAGCGGUGAAAUGCGUAGAGAUCGGGAGGAACAUCAGUGGCGAAGGCGGCCACCUGGGACAACACUGACGCUGAGGCACGAAAGCGUGGGGAGCAAACAGGAUUAGAUACCCUGGUAGUCCACGCCCUAAAACGAUGCGAACUGGAUGUUGGUCUCAACUCGGAGAUCAGUGUCGAAGCUAACGCGUUAAGUUCGCCGCCUGGGGAGUACGGUCGCAAGACUGAAACUCAAAGGAAUUGACGGGGUCAU
rnacentral:rRNA from 1 species